UGGGGAAUCUUAGACAAUGGGGGAAACCCUAUCUAGCCAUGCCGCGUGAGCGAUGAAGGCCUUAGGGUUGUAAAGCUCUUUCAGCUGGGAAGAUAAUGACGGUACCAGCAGAAGAAGCCCCGGCUAACUCCGUGCCAGCAGCCGCGGUAAUACGGAGGGGCUAGCGUUGUUCGGAAUUACUGGGCGUAAAGCGCACGUAGGCGGAUUUAGUCAGUCAGAGGUGAAAUCCCAGGGCUCAACCCUGGAACUGCCUUUGAUACUGCUAGUCUUGAGGUCGAGAGAGGUGAGUGGAAUUCCGAGUGUAGAGGUGAAAUUCGUAGAUAUUCGGAGGAACACCAGUGGCGAAGGCGGCUCACUGGCUCGAUACUGACGCUGAGGUGCG
rnacentral:rRNA from 1 species